GUCAGUGUCAAGGUUACGUUUAAAAUUCUUGUUCCGUUAACCGUCAGGAAAGAAAAGUGUGAUAAACUCUGAAAUAAAUAGCUUUAUCUUAACAUAUUAUCAUGGAGUCUUCAGGAACAAGAGCCCCACGCAAACGUGUGGCUAAUUUCACGGCGGACGAAAAAGCUUUGUUAGCACAAUUAGAUAAAAAGAGACCAAGCGUGGAAUCUAAAAUAACAGAUGGCAAGUCAGUCGCCAAGAAACAAGCAGCAUGGGAUAGUAUAACACAGGAGUUCAAUCAGGAAUCAAUCACCAGCUUCCAGACUACGGGCUGCUUUGUGAAAGUUUAAGAAAACCCUCGAGAGACCUCUAGCACAGCAGCCGUGCUUGCGACCACUAGACCAACAAGGCAGUCAAAUAAACUUUGUACUACAUAAUUGUUCAACAAUUAAAAAAGUAUUCGUCUUA